GUCUGCGGCCACAUCACCCUGAACAAGCCCGAUGUCUGAUCUCGGAAGCUAAGCAGGGUUGGACCUGGUUGAUACUUGGAUGGGAGACCACCUAGGAAGAUGAGGGGCUGCAGGCA
rnacentral:rRNA from 1 species